UCCCCUCUUUUGGUGUCCUUUGGUGAGCUCAACCCAAGGCAUGAACUCCAGAGGAUUUAUCUGUUUAUUUAUUAAAAAAGUUGUGAUAGCCUCCCUGAUUUCAGCUCCCUGGGCAUGCACGCAGGUAAACCACAACUGUCAAAUGUUAUCCAAGUUUCUAACAGGAACGAACUCUGCAAUGCAUAUUUUACCUCGGAGCAAUUCAGCUGUGCAAGGUGUACCAGCACAACGCGUCAGCACAGACUGCUGCGCUCGCUGGAUGAGAAGAUGAGGACUCUCAAAGCCUGGCUCUGCAGGAGAACAGCACAGAAGCACUUCCCUGAUGCAUGUGGUUGCAGUGCCCUCUUGUGCGAGUGAGCGCUGAUGAGCAGAGGCUGAUUGGAAAGGCUUCCAAAGCUCCGCACCUGGCUGCCAACGAAGGAGGGAAACCGCAGUCAGAAUCCCCUUCCUGCCGUGGCUGUGUUUUAGUCACCGAUCUGUUGGGAUGCUGAGUUGUUUUGUUCGGUUUCUGUGAUGUGAUAUGAUAUGAUAUAAAGACAACCCUCGGGCUUUUACAGCUUAAGAUGUGCUUUGCAUUCUGCAAGUAUUUUGGCAUCAGCUGGGAAAUGAACACUUACUAUUUCUGCUGUGGUGGUGCCCAUGAGAACUGCUAUGGACAGGUGCUCCCGGCUGUGGUCAGUGCUGUCUCUGAGGUAUGGACCUUGCUGUGCUGUGAAGCUUUAAUCGUGCAGCAAAAAAUAAAUAGCCAAAUCAGGUUGAUAUUUUGCAUGAAUGAGAAGGCAGAUUUCCUCCUCCCUCUACCCCAAUUUGUCAGCUGCACUUCAUCUGUCUCUGAAAUUAAAUUAGUUAAAUUAAUAUGUCUUGAUCGGUCAAAAAGAAGAAAACUUCCAGGGGAAAAAAAAAAAGGGCACAGUGAUCAGAACUAAGUGAGCAGGACAGACCCAGGAGGGUUUUGACACAUUAUCAUUUGAAAAUGGCAAAGCGAAAAUCUGCUGUGACUGCAGUGUUUCCAGACUGCUAUAAGCCCUAAAAAAUACCUGCUUGUGCAAAUAAGUUCAACCGUGACAUAGAAAAUUCAGGGGGGAUCUGUGCCAGUCCUUUGAUCAAAUGAAUGUUGAUUAUCUAAAAUUAUAGCCAUCCUUUUGCGGAUAUAGUUCAUGACAAAACUGUUGGGAGCAUUAGUGUCAGGGGAGCAAACUGUUACUUUAUGACCAAAGCAAGUAUGAAAGCGAGAAUGUCAUAACAUCAACAAAAAGAAAAAUCCAAACUUAGUUCUUCCUUGAUACACACCAUUUAACUGUAUAAACCUCAAGAGAAAAUAAAAAUAGACUAGGAGAAGAAAAAGUGUGGUACUCAAAGGACUUGGCAUGGGUUUUUUAGCAUUAAGUACUUCAAUUUCCAUUGAAAUCCAGACAAAAAUUGCAGCAUCUCUGCAGACAAUGAAAAGGCAAACUGUUUUAGUUUUUUUUCUACCAUGCUUUUCUGUAAUCAGCAUGAAGGUUUAGAAGCUUACUUUGCCUCAUUUUAAACAUUAUAUUCUAAAUACUUUCUUCAGAUGUUAUAAACUGUGCUGCUCUUCCCUGACUCUGCUUGCCUGCCAGUCUGCAGAGGGGAGGUUGGAGAGAGAGAGAGAGAUGCAAAGAUGAGGCCUUUCUGUCCUCUGUUUCCAUGCGGGGGUGCCCUGGCCCUGCCACACUCUCUCUUGUGGUGGAGAGGAUGGGGUCGCUGCCUGGGCCCCCCAGAGCAUCUCCCCACAGCCAGGAGCAUGGGUUGGAGCUGUCUGCCUGCCAACAAACAGAAGAGCAGGGAAGUAUGGCACCUGCAGCGCUGAUGGGCUUGCUGAAGAUGAACGAGGGCCUUGAGGAGCAGCUGACCCAAACUGACCAGAUGCAUAUUCCAUACCAAGUAACAUCCUACUUUGCAAUAUAAACUACAAGGGAAGUGUGGGUGUAAAAUUUUGCCAAGGCUGCUGUUGUUUCAUGACUAGCUGGACCAUGGCCUGCUUGUGGUAAGCAAGUGCUUGUUUUAUCACUAGUUUUUCUUUGUUUUGUUUUAACUUUCCCCACCUCUUUUAUGUAUUAAGUUGUCUUAAUCUCAACGUUUUUCUCACUUUUGCCCUUCUGGUCCUCUCACUAACCCUGCUGGUGGAGAGUUAGCAAGCAUCUGUAUUGUGCUCAGCUGGUUACGAGAGUCAAACUGCAACACCUUUCAAGAAAGAAGGCUAACAAUAUCCUGGGGUCAUCAGUGCUUACAUUGAUUCUCAGCUGCUAUUGAAAUCAGAGCACAGCUGAGCACAGCAGCUGGAAGGCUUUGAUUUUCACAAAGGCGAAAUGAUCAGCUAGGUUGUUCAUUUUGUUCUUUGUGAUAGACAUCAGCUCCAGUUGGCACAGGAAGGAGAUCAGCAGCAUCCAAGGCCCCCUGACUCACAAAGGAGUAAAAUACAGAUCUGUUGCUCCCAACAAGGUGAUGGCUCUGUACUUUACUGAGCUGCCAGGGGUGCUGUGGACUGAACUGUCUUGCAGCUCUGUGCAGCCUGUAGAUCUCCAGAGGAGGCCAGCCUCUGCCUAUGAGGAAGGCUGGUGCCAGAAUGUGUAAAAGCAUGGCUAGAUAGUGGCACAGCUGCAAGUGCUUCCUGGAGAAGAGAGCUAGCUGUACUGAGAGAGUUUGCAGAGGCUAAAUAUUCUGUGAAAUUCGGAGGCU